GGGUCAGUAGGUUGGUCGUGCCACCGGUACGUACUGGUCUCACUGAUUCCUCCUUCCUGAAGAACCGUAAUGCCAUUAACUUGAUGUUGCGGGGAAACAGGACUGUUACUUUGAAAAAAUUAGAGUGUUUAAAGCAAGCUAACGCUUGAAUACAUUAGCAUGGAAUAAUGAAAUAGGACGAUCGAUCCUAUUUUGUUGGUUUCUAGGAUUGACGUA
rnacentral:rRNA from 1 species